rnacentral:lncRNA from 1 species
CAGACGUCCGGAUCGUGGUCCGUUGGUUCCAUCCUCCAGUCCCUUAGACCCAACACCAAUGCAGUUGGGCGGGGCUGGUCCUAGGGAGACCGGAGGGGAAACGUUCCAUGCACCAGAGGUGACCGCAGAGGACACACUGCUGGUCGGUGCUGGGGAGGUUUUCCAGGUCGUCGAGGUGGUAGGCGGAACACUGGUGGUUCAUCUCAGACUGCGGAGGCCCUAUUUACCCAUGUAUUCCGGCACUACGGGGUGCCUGAGGAUAUAGUCUCUGAUCGGGGUCCCCAAUUUACGUCUAGAGUCUGGAGGGUGUUUAUGGAACGCCUGGGGGUCUCGGUCAGUCUUACCUCAGGGUUCCACCCCGAGAGUAAUGGGCAGGUGGAAAGAGUCAACCAAGAGUGUGUGCUAGGGUAUCAGCCGGUCCUCACUCGGAGGAGACAUGGAACGCUGCCCAUGUACGUCUGCAACGAGCCAUCAGGCGGCAAAAGGCGAGUGCCGACAGCCACCGCAGUGAGGCCCCGGUUUAUGCCCCGGGGGAUCGGGUCUGGCUCUCGACCCGAAACCUGCCCCUUCACCUGCCCUGCCGGAAGCUGGGUCCGCGGUUUGUGGGGCCAUUUAAAGUCCUGAGGAGAUUGAACGAGGUUUGUUAUAGGUUACAACUUCC